rnacentral:rRNA from 1 species
AUUGAACGCUGGCGGCAGGCCUAACACAUGCAAGUCGAGCGGAUGAAGGGAGCUUGCUCCUGGAUUCAGCGGCGGACGGGUGAGUAAUGCCUAGGAAUCUGCCUGGUAGUGGGGGAUAACGUCCGGAAACGGGCGCUAAUACCGCAUACGUCCUGAGGGAGAAAGUGGGGGAUCUUCGGACCUCUCGCUAUCAGAUGAGCCUAGGUCGGAUUAGCUAGUUGGUGGGGUAAAGGCCUACCAAGGCGACGAUCCGUAACUGGUCUGAGAGGAUGAUCAGUCACACUGGAACUGAGACACGGUCCAGACUCCUACGGGAGGCAGCAGUGGGGAAUAUUGGACAAUGGGCGAAAGCCUGAUCCAGCCAUGCCGCGUGUGUGAAGAAGGUCUUCGGAUUGUAAAGCACCUUAAGUUGGGAGGAAGGGCAGUAAGUUAAUACCUUGCUGUUUUGACGUUACCAACAGAAUAAGCACCGGCUAACUUCGUG